rnacentral:piRNA from 1 species
UGAGUGAUGUAUUAUGUUGGAUUUAAACCC